rnacentral:misc_RNA from 1 species
UCCGGUUUGUCACCGGCAGUCUCGUAUGAGUCCCCAACUAAAUGAUGGCAACAUACGACGGGGGUUGCGCUCGUUGCGGGACUUAACCCAACAUCUCACGACACGAGCUGACGACAGCCAUGCACCACCUGUGACGGUCCAGCCGAACUGACCCUGUGUUUCCACAGGUAUGACCGACAUGUCAAACCCAGGUAAGGUUCUUCGCGUUGCAUCGAAUUAAAGAACAUGCUCCGCUGCUUGUGCGGGCCCCCGUCAAUUCCUUUGAGUUUCACCGUUGCCGGCGUACUCCCCAGGUGGAUUACUUAUCGCUUUCGCUAAGCCACUAAAGGUUGCCCUCUAGCAGCGAGUAAUCAUCGUUUACAGUGCGGACUAC